rnacentral:rRNA from 1 species
AACGGCUUACCAAGACGAUGAUGGGUAGGGGUCCUGAGAGGGAGAUCCCCCACACUGGUACUGAGACACGGACCAGACUCCUACGGGAGGCAGCAGUGAGGAAUAUUGGACAAUGGGCGCAAGCCUGAUCCAGCCAUGCCGCGUGCAGGAUGAAGCAUCUAUGG